rnacentral:rRNA from 1 species
UACGAAGGGGGCUAGCGUUGUUCGGAAUUACUGGGCGUAAAGGGCGCGUAGGCGGCGUGUCAAGUCAGGCGUGAAAUCCUGGAGCUCAACUCCAGAACUGCCUUUGAUACUGAGGAUCUUGAGUUCGGGAGAGGUGAGUGGAACUGCGAGUGUAGAGGUGAAAUUCGUAGAUAUUCGCAAGAACACCAGUGGCGAAGGCGGCUCACUGGCCCGAUACUGACGCUGAGGCACGAAAGCGUGGGGAGCAAACAGG